UUCCAUGGUAUCCCGGAACCGUGGGGGCGGGACCCUCGAAGGGGCGGGCGAACGCCAGAUAACCGGAUCCGUUUGCGCUGCAGCAUUUUCAGUCCUCUCAACAGCCCUGCAGUGGGCUGAGAUGUGGUAUACCUGGGAAAAGUAAAGAUCUGCAAGAUUGGUGAUUCCCCCAGUCAAGGGGCCACACUCCAGGGCCUCCUGUACACAUCACGUUCAUUCCUUUGGGAAUGAGUGCCUCCUGUGCACCAGGCAGCGAGCAGGUGCUGGACAUGCUACAGGGAACAUGGCAAGUCCCCUGCCAUCCUGAAGCGCACGUAAUGGCUCUCCCUUGAACAUCACUGCCAGAAGGACUCCGAACAUCCUGGGGUACCUGUCUCUUCUACUUAUCUGGAAGAAUGGCUUAAAGAGGCUGGUCUGACCCAUCCCAUACGUUUCCAUCCAUGGAGGACAAUUUGACAUCACCAUGACAAAUGCUGCCACCUGUGACCCAGCAAUACUAGUUCCAGGAAUUUAUCCUAUAGAAACACUUGAAUAUAUACAUAGUGGCACUGGUAUAAGAAUAUGUAUUGCAGUGUUGUCUGUAAUAUCAAAGUCAUAGAAACAACUUAAACUUCUGUCAGUAGGGAUCUAAUUACAGUUCAUUAACGUUAGUUAUGGAAAAUGCAUAAAGUGUAAUACCACUAACUAUAAAAAAUAAAGGAGAACAUUGAUCAUGGAAA